CAUGGAUCCCAACCAUGGGCCCAGCUCCUCCAAUAUGAGCCAUGAGCCAGUUGAAUCUGAAUGCAAAGACAUGGGGACAGAUCAAGAAAACCACACAAAAAGCUGAGAAACUGCUAGAGCAUCAGGUCUUCAAAAUCAGGUGGACCACCAAAUGGCAAUUGAGAGCUGCAGAACCUGCAAUUACCUUUAUUCAAUUAAUGAAAAAACAAAAAGAGGGAGAUGUUACAGGCCAAAAGAAUGAGGGUCGUGACCAACUCAGCAUACCACUGGAGGCUAUAUGAGCAAACAGAAAACUGUUCUCAUGAAAGCAGGAUGUUGGAAAACUGAUGACUAUGUCUGCCCCCAGAAGGAGUGCUGAGGGCAAUCACACCCCAAGCACAGUGUUCCUUGUGAUUAUCUGUAGGAAUAUCUGAAGCCUGUUGUACAAAGAAAGAAAUUAUGUGUACCUGUGAUAAAUCAAGCAGCUGACCAACCAUUACCUCUUCCUCCCUGCUCUUUUCACCUAAUAAAUAUGAAGGGCUGUAGAAGCUCAAAGCCUUUGUUCACUAGAAGCAAGGAGCCCCUGACACCUUCUUUUAAAACAGAUC
rnacentral:lncRNA from 1 species